rnacentral:tRNA from 1 species
GGCCGGGUAGCUCAGUCGGUAGAGCAUUCGCCUUACAAUCUAAGGGUUGUGGGUUCGAUCCCCGGUCACCGCCA